rnacentral:ncRNA from 1 species
AGGUAGUCUCGCCCUGCCAGUCGUACUCCAUGCCUGAUGGGGUCAGGGAACCCGGUGAAAGUCCGGGACUGACGCGCAGCGGUGAGGAUGACGGGCGGGGCACGCCCCUUCUCCGGGAGGGGCAGCCACUGGAGCCUGGCUCCGGGAAGGCGCACCGCACCGAUCGAUUCCGAGUCCGAAGACCUGCUGGCUCUGGCGGCGCCCG